CUAUGAGUUGCAUUUAGCACGGACAUUGAAUGUCACAUAAGCGAGUGAAACUCUGUAGUAGCAGAGGAAGCACCACUAGUGGCUAUCUGGAAGACCUCCACUAGAGGCAUGUUUAAAGGGAACUUGCCACCACUUACCUGACUCUUUUCUCCCUCGCCACGAUCUCCACUGGUCCACUCUUAUUCCUCUUCUGAUUUGCCUUGCUUACCAAGCAGGGCAAGCCUAAUCAAUGACGGCGUCAGCACGGAGAGGAGUGACAUCAGUCACUCCGUUUCUAUACCCAUGGCUAGCAAAGUCGCCAAAUACAGACCAGAAGGCCCACCAAUGGGAGGUCUCUUCUGCUCUCCCUUUCAAUCAAUUCUUUGCCAUAGAGCCUAG